rnacentral:lncRNA from 1 species
GCUGUACGAUACUGCACCCAUACGACCACAUCCAUCAGAGGAGAGGACGAUGCCGGAGUGAGCAGAGUGCAUGUGAAUAGCCAUGUGCUAGCUGGGUUGAUCAAUUCCAUAAUUUCCAUGCAUGCAUGCGUGCUUAUUCAUGCCAGCCACUGAUAAUCAUGUAGAAGUCUGAUAUUAAGCCAAAGCAUAAUAUCAUAUGUUGUAGAAUCAAACUUGAAAGUGAUUAAAUUGAU